rnacentral:lncRNA from 1 species
GCUCCUGGGUGAGCCUGCCCUAGUGUGUUACCUGUCUGCCCACUUUUAGCCCUGCCCUCCAAAUUCUUAAUUCCUCGGUUAUCUGCUUAUGUAGUUGGACAGUUUACUAGUUUGUCAGGUAUAAGGGGUUGGCUGGGCUAGGCUGAACUCCCAUACUACUCUUUCUCACUCUCUCUCUCUCUCUCUCUCUCUCUCUCUCUCUCUCUCUCUUAGUUCGUGGCCAUUUUCUAUCCAGGAUGUGGUACAACCUCUUACCCUACAAGUUCAGAGACCCCUGGUCUCUGUGACGGUGUCAGAUGCCUCCUGGGUCUCAGAACUGCUGUGGUCACUUUUCGUCCCUUUCACGGUGUAUCAAGUAAGGUAUAACUGUCCUCUGUUUUUGGUGGCUGGGAAGAUGCUCACCUCAGGGUCAAGGAAGUAAUGACCUCUACCCUGUGUGUCUGUGGUUUGUUAGUGUCAAGUUUCUAACACAAAAGCCACACUUGUCUCCCAUCUCCUGACUCUCACCUCCACUGUUCCAAGAUAAAUGGGGAAGGUGGCAUGCUUAGCCUGGGGCGCCUUAACAGAGCAGCGCUCUGGUUUUUGU